UACGAAGGGUGCAAGCGUUAAUCGGAAUUACUGGGCGUAAAGGGUGCGUAGGCGGUUCGUUAAGUCUGCUGUGAAAUCCCCGGGCUCAACCUGGGAAUGGCAGUGGAUACUGGGAGGCUAGAGUGUGUCAGAGGAUGGUGGAAUUCCCGGUGUAGCGGUGAAAUGCGUAGAGAUCGGGAGGAACAUCAGUGGCGAAGGCGGCCAUCUGGGACAACACUGACGCUGAGGCACGAAAGCGUGGGGAGCAAACAGG
rnacentral:rRNA from 1 species